AAAAUCCCUUACUCUCCUUGCAGCCUGUUCUGCAGUCAGGAGAAGUGGCCAAGGCGGGUCCUCACGCAAUUCUCAGGGGCCAUCUCCGCAGGAAACUUCGCUCGCCGCGGAGCAGGGCUUGGGGCUAUUGGACUCAGGCGGGGACCUUGGGCGAACUGCCGGGCUCCCCUCCCGGCCAGGGCCCCCUUCGAGUCCCGCAACGCGUCUGUCUCUUUAAAUCCCAGCUGCGCGGCUGGGAAACAGCGCCACUCGCCGCCCAGGCCGGCUGCUGCUGCGAGCUCGCGCUUCGGCUGCCGGCUGCGCGCGGCGGAGGGCUCGGCUCGCCCGCGGGCUGCUCGGCGGCGGCGGCGGCGGCGGCGCGGGGCGGGAGGCGCGGCCCGGCCAAGAGCGAAGAAAGAGCGAGCCGGGCCCGGGAGAGGCGCCGCGCCCGGUCCCGCGCCCGCUCGCUCGGCGGCCGACGACGAUGUGCCCGGCUCGUGCUUUCCUCGCGUCCUCCCUAAGACGAUUUCCAUAGUAACCCGAUCAAGUGGCUCAGGACCGUGCAAACCUGAGGAUUUCGGCGGCCCCGCCGGCGUUGACCUCCGGCCAGAUCCGUCCUCAUCCAUCAACAUAUUUGUUUCCUGAGUCUAUUGAUCUCCAUGGAUUGUGCAGAAAUGCAUUCUAAGCUGGGCGAUUGUACGUCGGAAUUGGACUUCUGCAGCUCUAAGUACCACAUGCAUUGUAAAGACAGCACAAUUUUUAAAUCCAAAUAAGCCACGGGUAUAAAUAAACGCAUCUUUGAAAAAAAAUCUAGACUUAUUUUAGUAAAACUUCCUUCUUUGAUCAUUGCUAUGUUUUUUUUCCUCCUCUUCGGCAUUUAAUUGUAGGGAACUGGGAGACAGCCCCUUCCCCUCUUCUAGUUUAUAAGGGACAUGCAACUUUUAUUGUAAUUAUAUCCUCUUGAACCUGAUUGAGUUUGCACUAGCCAGGCACUAGAAUGAAAAGGUCAUAAUUAAGGUUCUUGUACUUGCUUCCUGAAAGCCAAGCUGGUCCAAGAGGGAAGUGCAGAGAACAAGCAGGCUGUUCUGACCCUGCCAAAGGAUAGAAAAGAAUUAGCAACUUCUGUGUGAAAUUAGAAUUGGACUUUGGUGCAGAGCAUGUGAAAAUACUAUAAAGUCAGGCCUUUUGUUUUUGGUCAUUGACAUAGCGACAGCCAUACCAGGAAGGUGUAUGUUAAGAGCUGCUAUUUGAAAAUGACCCACUGGAAUGAGCCUCUCCUACCUUGCUUGUCUGGAUGCUUUCUCUUUAUAUUAUGCUUUUGAUUUUUGUUUGACACCUAGGAUGCAUGUAUCAUGAGAAAACAAAGGGUGUUUGUAUGUGUGUGGGUGAUUUCUCUUUAGCCAAAAAGGGGGUUUAUUGGAUUUUCAAAGAUUUUCUCAAAAAAGAAAUCUUGUUACAGUCAAGUUUCCUGAGAUCACAGUAUUUCCCAUGUGGAAAAUGGUACUUGCCAGUAAUUUCCUUCACUUUCUGUGAUGUAGAGAGUUGAUGUCAGGGAAGGGCUCAGUUUCAGAGCACAUCCAAACCUCCUUUCCUUUGUGUGCACGUCCGUCUUUAAAUUAAAUUAUUAAUACAGAAUGAAGGAUCCUGGGGGCAGAGAAUGGAUCAUGAAGAAGAGAAACCACAGACGGAAUGGAAAAAAAAAAAAAAAACAAACAACCAAGCAAAGGAAACACAAUUGCCACGCCACUCCAUAACAUCAUCAUUGUGUUUAGCCAAUUAGGAAGCUUUACAUCUUAAAUGUGUUCCAUUUGCUUAUUUGUACAAAUGAUAUUGAUUGAACCUGAGGUCGUAUUUAUCCAGUUCAGAUGUUCAGAUGAACAUUUAGAGAAUAUCUAACAACUCAUUUGUCACUGGAGCCACCAAAGCAUGCUCUGAAGACAUUUCUUUAAUCGGCUAGAGUGGAGGGAUGAUACUACAUUUUUUAUGCCUG
rnacentral:lncRNA from 1 species